GGAUGAACGCUGGCGGCGUGCCUAAUACAUGCAAGUCGAGCGAACAGAUAAGGAGCUUGCUCCUUUGACGUUAGCGGCGGACGGGUGAGUAACACGUGGAUAACCUACCUAUAAGACUGGGAUAACUUCGGGAAACCGGAGCUAAUACCGGAUAAGAUUUUGAACCGCAUGGUUCAAUAGUGAAAGACGGCCUUGCUGUCACUUAUAGAUGGAUCCGCGCCGUAUUAGCUAGUUGGUAAGGUAACGGCUUACCAAGGCAACGAUACGUAGCCGACCUGAGAGGGUGAUCGGCCACACUGGAACUGAGACACGGUCCAGACUCCUACGGGAGGCAGCAGUAGGGAAUCUUCCGCAAUGGGCGAAAGCCUGACGGAGCAACGCCGCGUGAGUGAUGAAGGUCUUCGGAUCGUAAAACUCUGUUAUCAGGGAAGAACAAACGUGUAAGUAACUGUGCACGU
rnacentral:rRNA from 1 species